rnacentral:tRNA from 1 species
AGCCCCGUGGUGUAGUGGUCCAGCAUCGGUGGUUCUGGCCCACCGGACCUAGGUUCAAAUCCUGGCGGGGCUACCA